UUCCUCUUGAAAAUAAUUUUAUAAAAUGGUUGUCUGACAAUCUUCUCACAGUGCUGUGACUCUGAUUUUUGUCCCCAGGGGAUGCAUAAGGAUGGAUGGGCAUUCAGGAGGCAUUAAAUCUCAUGGGACAGCACAGAUAUAAAUCUCGACAUAUUCAGAGAUCCGCAGAUUGGUAUUUAUGAAGUGAUGAGCAGAUGAGGUUAAAAUGAAGGGACAGCGGAGGUUUGAACGAGUUCUGUGCAGCAAUGAAAGAAAUUAUAGGUAAUACUAACAAUAAAGACAUUGAUGACAUGUUGUGAAGAUUGACACUGACUGUGAUGCUUCAUAGACUGGGUAAUGAUGCUGUCCUCUGUGAUGAAAGAUGAGACCAAAGAAGUAGCAGUUGCAAAAGUAAUUUCCUGAUUUAUUUAAAAAAAAAAAAGAGAAGAAAGAAAUCGAACAUCAUUUGUUACUGGUGGUGGGGCAGUGUUUAUUUUCAUAGCUAUCUUCCAUAAUUGUUGCUCUGUCAACACUGCAGAACCUCAGAUAAUUAAUUCUGGUCUCCCUUUGAUACCUGCAAAUGAAAUCACUGUCUGUCUUGCAGGAAGAGUGUCUGGACUAUGUGCUACCCAAAUUCAGAAGCAAGGAUUGCUAGAAAGCAAAUCACACCUGCUCCCCAAAAUGCCCAAGUAAUCGCACUGUAAGCUUGGCUGAACUAAUAUCAAAAGAUGUGGGUCUGAGCAACGUCAGCUUGCUGGAGGUUUUCAAGCAAUGUGUCUUUCUCCUGGCAGAAGAUCUGACACAUCUCUUCAAGAGCUCCGUACUUCACAGUGAAGACCUCGGAGUUUUUUCUCAUACAGCUGUGCAGCAAACUGCUGUGGCUGUGUAUCUCAAACAGGCAGUGAAUCUCUUGUAUAAAAUUGGAUAUUUUUAUUGC
rnacentral:lncRNA from 1 species